rnacentral:rRNA from 1 species
GAUGAACGCUGGCGGCGUGCCUAAUACAUGCAAGUCGAGCGAACGGACGAGAAGCUUGCUUCUCUGAUGUUAGCGGCGGACGGGUGAGUAACACGUGGAUAACCUACCUAUAAGACUGGGAUAACUUCGGGAAACCGGAGCUAAUACCGGAUAAUAUUUUGAACCGCAUGGUUCAAAAGUGAAAGACGGUCUUGCUGUCACUUAUAGAUGGAUCCGCGCUGCAUUAGCUAGUUGGUAAGGUAACGGCUUACCAAGGCAACGAUGCAUAGCCGACCUGAGAGGGAGAACCGCCACACUGGAACUGAGACACGGUCCAGACUCCUACGGGAGGCAGCAGUAGGGAAUCUUCCGCAAUGGGCGAAAGCCUGACGGAGCAACGCCGCGUGAGUUAUGAAGGUCUUCGGAUCGUAAAACUCUGUUAUUAGGGAAGAACAUAUGUGUAAGUAACUGUGCACAUCUUGACGGUACCUAAUCAGAAAGCCACGGCUAACUACGUG